GACGAACGCUGGCGGCGUGCUUAACACAUGCAAGUCGAACGGUGAACCUCUUCGGAGGGGAUCAGUGGCGAACGGGUGAGUAACACGUGGGCAACCUGCCCCCGGCUCUGGGAUAACUCCAAGAAAUUGGGGCUAAUACCGGAUGUUCACCGCUUCCCGCAUGGGUGGUGGUGCAAAGGGUUUCCGGCUGGGGAUGGGCCCGCGGCCUAUCAGCUUGUUGGUGGGGUAGUGGCCUACCAAGGCGACGACGGGUAGCCGGCCUGAGAGGGUGACCGGCCACACUGGGACUGAGACACGGCCCAGACUCCUACGGGAGGCAGCAGUGGGGAAUAUUGCGCAAUGGGCGGAAGCCUGACGCAGCGACGCCGCGUGGGGGAUGACGGCCUUCGGGUUGUAAACCUCUUUCAGCAGGGACGAAGCGCAAGUGACGGUACCUGCAGAAGAAGCACCGGCCAACUACGUG
rnacentral:rRNA from 1 species